rnacentral:rRNA from 1 species
AGUGAACGCUGGCGGUAGGCCUAACACAUGCAAGUCGAACGGCAGCACAGUAAGAGCUUGCUCUUACGGGUGGUGAGUGGCGGACGGGUGAGGAAUACAUCGGAAUCUACUUUUUCGUGGGGGAUAACGUAGGGAAACUUACGCUAAUACCGCAUACGACCUACGGGUGAAAGCAGGGGAUCUUCGGACCUUGCGCGAUUGAAUGAGCCGAUGUCGGAUUAGCUAGUUGGCGGGGUAAAGGCCCACCAAGGCGACGAUCCGUAGCUGGUCUGAGAGGAUGGUCAGCCACACUGGAACUGAGACACGGUCCAGACUCCUACGGGAGGCAGCAGUGGGGAAUAUUGGACAAUGGGCGCAAGCCUGAUCCAGCCAUACCGCGUGGGUGAAGAAGGCCUUCGGGUUGUAAAGCCCUUUUGUUGGGAAAGAAAAGCAGCAGGUUAAUACCCCGCUGUUCUGACGGUACCCAAAGAAUAAGCACCGGCUAACUUCGUG